CAAAGGAGCAAAAGAUCCAGAAUAUAAAAGAGGACCACAAUGUUCAUACAGGUGUGGGAUAAGAGGCUCCGUCAUGGCAGGUGAUUUGUCUCCUUUAACAAGGGUGUGAUCUUUGCUACCUGCAGAUACUUUAAUUCUGGGGACUCUGAAAAGGGUGUGAAUGAGAGAGCCCCAGAGAGGAUGCUCCAAGAACACUGUUGCUCUUGGCUGCUGUUGUGGUUUGUCAAGUGUUUGAGAGCAUCAAGAAGUUAGAUCACAAAGAUUGGACUUGCUCCCAUGGAACUCAAUGUCCC
rnacentral:lncRNA from 1 species